rnacentral:lncRNA from 1 species
AACAAGAACACUAAUAAAACUAUCAAUCUUCUCAAUUCUUAAUAACAAUAUACAAAAUUUAGCAAAACAAGAACACUAAUAACACUAUCAAUCUUCUCAUUUCUUGAUAACAAUAUACAAAAUUUAACAAAACAAGAACACUAAUAACACUGUCAAUCUUCUCAUUUCUUGAUAACAAUAUACAAAAUUUAGCAAAACAAGAACACUAUCAAUCUUCUCAUUUUUUGAUAACAAUAAAGAAAAUUUAGCAAAACAAGAACACUAAUAACACUAUCCAUCCUUUCAUUUCUUGAUAACAAUAUACAAAAUUCAGCAAAACAAGAACCCUAAUAACACUAUCAAUCUUCUCAUUUCUUGAUAACAAUAUACAAAAUUCAGCAAAACAAGAACACUAAUAACAGUAUCAAUCCUCUCAUUUCUUGAUUACAAUAUACAAAAUUUAGCAAAACAAGAACAUUAAUAACAUUAUCAAUCUUCUCAUUUCUUGAUAACAAUAUACAAAAUUUAGCGAAACAAGAACACUACUAACACUAAAUCAAUCUUCUCAUUUCUUUUAAUAAACAAUAUACAAAAUUUAGCAAAACAAGAACACUAAUAACAUCUAAUCAAAUCUUCUCAAUUUCUGAUGUAACAAUAUACAAAAUUUAGCAAACCAAGAACAUAAUAACACUAUCAAUCUCUCAUCAUUUCUUGAUAAACAAUAUACAAAUUUUAUGCAAAACAAGAAACACUAAUAAACACUAUCAAUCUUUCCAUUUCUUGAUAACAAUAUACAAAAUUUAGCGAAACAAGAACAAUAAUAACACUACACAAUCUUUAUUCUGAAUAAACAAUAUACAAAAUUUAGCAAAACAAGAACCAUCUAAUAAGCAUUCUAUCAAAUCUUCUCAUUUCUUGAUAACAAUAUACAAAAUUUAGCAAACUAGAUACACUAAUACACUAUCAAUCUUUCUCAUUUCUUUGAUAACAAUAUAUCUACUAAAUAUUAGCAAAAACAAGAACACUAAUAACAAAUGUAUCAAUCCUCUCAUUUCUUAAUAACAAUCUAAAUAAAAUUUAGCAAACAAGACAAUAACACUUCAAUCCUCUCAUUCUGAUAACAAACAUAUAACAAACAAACACUAAUCACUAUCAAUCUUCUGCAUUUCUUGAUGAACAUAUACAAAAUUUUAGCAAAACAAGACACUAAUAACACAUAUCAAUCUUCUCAUUUUUGAUAACAAUAUACAAAUUAAAAAAAACCAAGAACACUAAUAACACUAUCAAUCUUCUCAUUUCUUAUAACAAUGAUACUAAAAUUUAGCAAAACAAGAACACUAAUAACACAUAUCAAUCUUCUGACUUUCUUGAUAACAAUAUAAAAAAAUUUAGCAGAAACAGAACACUAAUAAACUAUCAAUCUUCUCAUUUUCCUUAAUAACAAUAUACAAAUUUAAAAACAAGAACACUAAAUAACACUAUCAAUCUUCAUUUCUUGAUAAACAAUAUCAAAAUUAGCAAAACAACAUUAAUAACACUAGUCAUCUCUCAUUUCUUGAUACAAUAUACAAAUUUAGAAAAACAAGAACACUAUACACUAUCAUCUUCUCAAAUUUUCUUGAUAACAAUAUACAGAAAUUUAGCCAAUAACAAGAACACUAAUAACACUAUCAUCUCUCAUUUCUUGAUACAAUAUAUCAAAAUUCGCAAUACAAAGAAACUAUAACACUAUCAACUUCUCAUUCUUGAUAACAAUAUACAAAUUAGGCAAACACAAAACACUAAUAACACCUAUCAAUCUCUCAUUUCUUGAUAACAUAUACAAAAUUUAGCAAAACAAGAACAUAUAACAUUAUCCAUCUUCUCAUUUCUUGAUAACAAUAUACAAAUUUACGAAACAAGAACACUAAUAACACUAUCAAUCUUCCUCAUUUUUGAAUCAACAAUAUACAAAAUUUAGCAAAACAAGAAACUAAUAACACUAUCAAUCUUUCUCAUUUCUUGAUAAAAUAUACAAUUUAGCAAAAACAGAAGCACUAAUAACACUAUCAAUUGUCCUCAUUUUCUUUGAUAACAAAUACAAAAUUUAGCAAAAACAAGAACACUAUAACACUAUCAAUCUUCCAUUUCUUGAUAACAAAUACAAAUUUAGCAAAACAAGAACAAUAAUAACACUUCAAUCUUCUUUCCUUGAUAACAAUAUACAAAAUCUAGCAAAAAAGAACACUAAUAACACUAUCAAUCUUCUGUUCUUUUGAUAACAAUAUACAAAUUUGCAAAACAGAGAACACUAAUAACACUUCAUCUUCUCAUUUUUCAUAACAAUAUACAAAUUUACAAACAAGAACAUAAUAACAUAUCUAUCUUCUCAAUUUUCUUUGAUAACAAUAUACAAAUUUAGCAAAACAAGAACAUAAUAACACUAUCAAUCUUCUCAUUUCUGAUAACAAUAUACAAAAUUUAGCAAAACAAGAACAAAUAACAUAUCAAUCUUCUAUUUCUUGAUAACAAUAUACAAAUUUAGCAAAACAAGAACACUAAUAACACAAAUCUUCUCAUUCUUGAUAAAUAUACAAAAUUUAGCAAAACAAGAAACACUAAUAACAUUAUCAAUUCUCUCAUUUCUUAAUAACAAUACAUAAUUUAGCAAACAAGAACAUAAUAACACUGCUUCAUCUCUCAUUCUUGAUAACAAUAUACAAAAUAUAGCAAAACCAGAAACACUAAUACACUCAUCAAUCUUCUCAUUUCUUGAUAACAAUAUACAAAAUUUGCAACAGAACAUAAUACACUAUCAAUCUUCUCAUUUCUUGAUUAACAUAUACAAAAUUUAAAAAAAAACAAGAACACUAAUAACACUAUAUCUCUCAUUUCUUGAUAACAAUAAUACAAAAUUUAGCAAAACAAGACACUAAUAACAUUCAAUCUUCUCAUUUCUUGAUAAACAAUAUAAAAAAUUUAGCAAAACAAGAACAUAAUAACUAUCAAUCUUCUCAUUUCUUAAACAAUAUACAAAAUUUAGAAAAACAGAACACUAAUAACAUAUCAUCUUCUCAUUUCUUGAUAACAAUAUACAAAUUUAGCAACAAGAACACUAAUAACACUUCAAUCUUCUCAUUUUUGAUAACAAUAUACAAAAUUUAGCAAAACAAGAACACUAUCAAUCUUCUCAUUUUUGAUAACAAUAUACAAAAUUUAGCAAAACAAGAACACUAAUAACACUAUCAUCUCUCAUUUCUGAUAACAAUAUACAAAAUUCAGAACAAACAAGAAGCUUCAUUCUUGAUAACAACUAUCAUUCCAACAAGACAUAUCAUUCCAUGUCUGAUAAAUGAAAAUUUCUAAGCAAAUCAAGACACAAUAAACAUCCACUACAUUUGAACAAUUUUACGAACAAGAAAUGAUACACUCUCCAAUUCUCAUUCUGAUAACAAUAUACAAAUUUAGAAAACAAGAACUUAUCAAUCCUCUCAUUUCUUGAUAACAAUAUACAUAAUUUAGCAAAACAAGAACACUAAUAACACUAUCAAUCUUCUCAUUUCUUGAUAACAAUAUACAAAAUUUAGAAAAACAAGAACACUAAUAACACUAUCAAUCUUCACAUUUCUUGAUAACAAUAUACAUAAUUUAGCAAAACAAGAACAAUAAUAACACUCUCAGUCCUCUUUUUUCUUGAUAAUAAUAUACAAAAUUUAACAAAAGAAGAACACUAAUAACACUAUCAAUCUUCUGAUUUCUUGAUAACACUAUACAAAAUUUAGCAAAACAAGAACACUAAUAACACUGUCAAUCUUCUCAUUUCUUGAUAACAAUAUACAAAAUUUAGCAAAACAAGAACACUAUUAAUCUUCUCAUUUUUUGAUAACAAUUUACAAAAUUUAGCAAAACAAGAACACUAAUAACACUAUCCAUCCUCUCAUUUCUUGAUAACAAUAUACAAAAUUCAGCAAAACAAGAACCCUAAUAACACUAUCAAUCUUCUCAUUUCUUGAUAACAAAAUUUAGCACAAACAAGAACACUAAUAAACACUAUCAAUCUUUCUUGAUAACAAUAUACAAAAUUCAGCAAAACAAGAACACUAAUAACACUAUCAAUCUUCUCAUUUCUUGAUAACAAUAUACAAAAUUCAGCAAAACAAGAACACUAAUAACACUAUCAAUCCUGUCAUUUCUUGAUAACAAUAUACAAAAUUUAGCAAACCAAGAACAUUAAUAACAUUAUCAAUCUUCUCAUUUCUUGAUAACAAUAUACAAAAUUUAGCAAAAUAAGAACACUAAUAACACUAUCAAUCUUCUUAUUUCUUGAUAACAAUAUACAAAAUUUAGCAAAGCAAGAACACUAAUAACACUAUCAAUCUUCUCAUUUCUUGAUAACAAAAUAGAAAAUUUAGCAAAACAAGAACACUAAUAACAAUAUCAAUCCUCUCAUUUCUUGAUAACAAUAUACAUAAUUUAGCUAAACAAGAACACUAUCAAUCUUCUCAUUUCUUGAUAACAAUAUACAAAAUUUAGCAAAACAAGAACACUAAUAACACUAUCAAUCCUCUCAUUUCUUAAUAACAAUAUACAAAAUUCAGCAAAACAAGAACCCUAAUAACACUAUCAAUCUUCUCAUUUCUUGAUAACAAUAUACAAAAUUCAGCAAAACAAGAACACUAAUAACACUAUCAAUCCUCUCAUUUCUUGAUAACAAUAUAAAAAGUUUAGCAAACAAGAACACAAUAACACUAUCAAUCUUCUCAUUUCUUAAUACAAAUAUAGAAAAUUUAGCAAAACAAGAACACUAAUAACACUAAUCAAUCUCUCUCUUUCUUAGAUAACAAUAUACACAAAUUUUAGCAAAACAAGAACACUAAUAACAUUAUCAAUCUUCUCAUUUCUGAUAACAAUUAGACAAAUUUAGCAAAACAAGAACACUAUAUAACACUAUCAAUCUUUCUCAUUUCUUGAUAACAAUAUACAAAAUUAUAAAAACAGAAACACUAAUAACACUAUCAAUCUUCUCAUUUCUUGAUAACAAUAUAACAAAAUUUAGCAAAACAAGAACACUAAUAACACUAUCAAUCUUCUCAUUUCUUGAUAAAAAUAGCAAAAUUAGCAAAACAAGACACUAUAACAACUAUCAAUCUUCUCAUUUCUUAAUAACAAUAUACAAAUUUAGCAAAAAGAACACUAAUAACACUAUCAAUCUUUCCAUUUCUUGAUAACAAUAUACAAAAUUGCAAAACAAGAACACUAAUAACACUCAAUUCUUCUCAUUUCUUGAUAACAAUAUACAAAAUUUAGCAAAACAAGAACACUAUCAAUCUUCUCAUUUCUUGAUAACAAUAUACAAAAUUUAGCAAACAAGAAACACUAAUAACACUAUCAUCUCUCAUUUCUUGAUAACAAUAUACAAAAUUCAGCAAAACAAGAACCUAAUAACAUAUCAAUCUUCUCAUUUCUUGAUAACAAUAUACAAAAUUCAGCAAAACAAGAACAUAAUAACUAUCAAUCCUCUCAUUCUUGACAACAAUAUACAAAAUUAAGGCAAAACAAGAACAUUAAUAACAUUAUCAAUCUUCUCAUUUCUUGAUAACAAUAUACAAAAUUUAGCGAAACAAGAACACUAAUAACACUAUCAAUCUUCUCUUUUUUCUUAAUAACAAUAUACAAAAUUUAGCAAAACAAGAACACUAAUAACACUAUCAAUCUUCUCAUUUCUUGAUAACAAUAUACAAAAUUUAGCAAAAACAAGAACACUAAUAAACACAUCAAUCUUCUCAUUUCUUGAUAACAAUAUACAAAAUUUAGCAAAGCAAAGAACACUAAUAACACUAUCAAUCUUCUCAUUCUUGAAUAACAAAAUAGAAAAUUUAGGCAAAACAAGAACACUAAUAACAUCAAUCCUUCAUUUCUUGAUAACAAUAUACAAAUUUAGCAAAACAAACACUAAUAACAUAUCAACCUCAUUUCUUGAUAACAAUAUACAAAAUUUGCAAAACAAGAACACUAUAUUAACACUAUCAAUUUCUCAUUUCUUAAUAACAAUAUACAAAAUUUAGCAAAAAAAACAAAACAUAAUAACACUAUCAAUCUCUCAUUUCUUGAUAACAUAUACAAAAUUUGGCAAAACAAGAACACUAAUAACACUAUCAAUGCUUCUUCAUUUCUUGAUAACAAAUAUACAAAUUUAAAAACAAGAACACUAUAACAACUAUCAAUCUUCUCAUUUCUUGAUAACAAUAUACAAAAUUUAGCAAAACAAGAAACUAAUAACACUAUCAAUCUUCUCAUUUCUUGAUAACAAUAUCAAAAUUUAGCAAAACAAGAACACUAUAACACUAUCAAUCUUCUCAUUUCUUAAUAACAAUAUACAAAAUUUAGCAAAACAAGAACACUAAUAACACUAUCAAUCUCUCAUUUCUUGAUAACAAUAUACAAAAUUUAGCAAAACAAGAACACUAAUAACACUUCAAUCUUCUCAUUUCUUGAUAACAAUAUACAAAAUUUAGCAAACAAGAACACUAAAACACUAUCAAUCUUCUCAUUUCUUGAUAACAAUAUAAAUUUAGCAAAACAAGAACACUAAUAACAACAUCUCAUCCUCUAUUUCUGAUAACAAUAUACAAAAUUCAGCAAACAAGAACCCUAAUAACACUAUCAAUCUUCUCAUUUCUUGAUAACAAUAUACAAAAUUCAGAAACAAGAACACUAAUAACACUAUCAAUCUUCUCAUUUCUUGAUAACAAUAUAAAAUUUAGCAAAAACAAGAACAUUAAUAACAUUAUCAUCUUCUCAUUUCUUGAUACAAUAUACAAAAUUUAGCAAAAAAGAACACUAAUAACACUAUCAAUCUUCUCAUUUCUUGAUAACAAUAUACAAAAUUUAGCAAACAAGAAACUAAAACACUAAUAAUCUCUCAUUUCUUGAUAACAAUAUACAAAAAUUAUAGAAAACAAGAACACUAUCAAUCUUCCUCAUUUUUUGAUAACAAUAUCAAAAUUUAGCAAAACAGAACACUAAAACACUAUCUCUUCUCAUUUCUUGAUAACAAUAUACAAUUCGCAAAACAAGAACACUAAUAACACUAUCAAUCUUCUCAUUUCUUGAUAACAAUAUACAAAAUUUAGCAAAACAAGAACACUAAUAACACUAUCAAUCCUCUCAUUUCUUGACAACAAUAUACAAAAUUUAGCAAAACAAGAACAUUAAUAAACUAUCAAUCUUCUCAUUCUUAUAACAAUAUACAAAAUUUAAGCGAAACAAGAACACUAAUAACACUAUCAAUCUUCUCAUUUCUAUAAUAACGAAUAUACAAAAUUUAGCAAAAAAGAAAACACUAAUAACACUAUCAAUCUUCUCAUUUCUUGAUAACAAUAUACAAAAUUACAAAACAGAACAACUAAUAACACAUCAAUUUUCUCAUUUCUUGAUAACAUAUACAAAAUUUAGCCAAAAGCAAGAAACACUAAUAAACUAUCAAUCUUCUCAUUUCUUAAUAACAAUAAUAGAAAAUUUAGCAAAACAAGAAACACUAAAACACUAUCAAUCAUCUCAUUUCUUAAUAAACAAUACANNNNNNNNNNNNNNNNNNNNNGGCAAAAAAAGAAGGGAGAGGAGGGAGGAGUAGAGGGAAUAUAUAUCUGCAACAUACAGCCAGGAGAGUAUUAUAUUUAAUUUUAAUAUAGAGAGAAUUCACACACAUUACAGUAAGUAACUCAAUAUAUAUAAAUUAACAACAUCUCUAUAUGUAUUAUAAUAUACACAUAUAAUCUAUAUAUUAUCUCAAUCUAGUAUCACUAAUUAGAUAUCACUUAGAUCACAUACACCUUAUAACUCACAAAAAGAAUAUUUUAUAUAUAUAGCGCGAGAGAUAUAUAUACCACUCACUAGAAAAUACACAAAUCACAAAUUAUGACACCACUAUAUUCUUUCACAAAUGAGUUGACAUUAUAUAUAUAAAUACUAAAUAUUGUGUAGCAACAAUGAUAUAAUACUCACGCUUAUAAAUAACAUCUAUAGUAAGAAAGAAGAAAUAUUUAUGAAUAAACAAUCAUUGCUAUAUAAUAAUGAGAGAGUGCACAACACAUAAUAUAGGAACAUCAAUAUAGUAACAACAUAAUUCGGAUUAUGUCUCUCUCUAUAUGCUCAUAAUUUAUGCGUAUUAGAUAUAAAAAUAAUACAAAUAGCUUCUCACAUGCAAUAAAUGCAGGAUCACAAAUAUAUAUUAACACUAGUAAUCACAAACUUACUUACUCAUUUUUCUUGAAUAACUAAAUAUAUAACUUUUAAAGCACAUAACCACACGUAUAUUCACCUAAUAAACACUAUCAAUCUCUCAUUUCUUGAUAACAAUAUACAAAAUUUAGCAAAAACAAGAAACAACUAUAAUAACAUUAUCAAUUCGCUCUCAUUUCUUGAAAACAAUAUACAUAAUUUAGCAAAACAAGAACAAUAAAACACUCUCAAUCCUCUCAUUUCUUAAUACAAUAUACAAAAUUUAAGAAAAAGAAGAAACACUAAUAACACUAUCAAUCUCUGAUUUCUUGAUAACAAUAACAAAAUUAGCAAAACAAGAACACUAAUAACACUAUCAAUCUUCUCAUUUUCUUAUAACAAUAUACCAAAAUUUAAGCAAAACAAGAAACACUAAUAACACUAUCAAUCUUCUCAUUUCUUGAUAACAAUAUACAAAAUUUAGCAAAACAAGAACACUAAUAAACACUAUCAAUCUUCUCAAUUCUUGAUAACAAUAUACAAAAUUAAAAAAACAAAAGAACACUAAUAACACUAAUCAAUCUUCUCAUUUCUUGAUAACAAAUAUACAAUUUAAAAAACAAGAACACUAAUAACACUAUCAAUCUCUCAUUUCUUGAUAACAAUACUACAAAUUGCAAAACAAGAACACUAAUAACACUCAAUCUUCUCAUUUCUUAUAACAAUAAAAAAUUUAGCAAACAAGAACACUAAUAACACUAUCAAUCUUCUAUUUCUUGAUAAACAAUAUAAAAAAUUUAGCAAAAUAAAAACACUAAUAACACUAUCAAUCUUCUCAUUUCUUGAUAACAAUAUAAAAAAUUUAGCAAAAACAGAGACACUAAUAACACUAUCAAUCUUCUCAUUUCUUGAUAACAAUAUACAAAAUUUAGCAAAACAAAGAACACUAAUAAAACUAUCAAUCUUCUCAUUUCUUGAAUAACAAAUACAGAAUUUUAGCAAAACAAAGAACACUAAUAACACUAUCAAUCCUCUCAUUUCUUGAUACCAAUAUACAAAUUUAGCAAAACAAGAACACUAAUAAACUAUCAAUCUCUCAAUGUUCUUGAUAAUACAAUAUAUAAAUUUAGCACAAACAAGAACACUAAUAAACACUAUCAAUCUCUCAUUUCUUGAUAACAAUUACAAAUUUAGCAAAACAAGAACGUACUAAUAACACUAUCAAUCCUCAUUUCUUGAUAACAAUAUACAAAUUAGGAAACAAGAACACUAAUAACACUAUCAAUCUUAAUUUCUUGAUAACAAUAUACAAAAUUAGCAAAACAAGAACACUAAUAACACUAUCAUCUUCUCAAUUUCUUGAUAACAAAUAAUACAAAAAUUUAGCAAACAAGAACACUAAUAACACUAUCAAUCUUCUAAUUUCUUGAUAACAAUAUACAAAAUUUAGGAAAAAAGACAUGAUAACAUAUCAAUCUUCUCAUUCUUUUGAUAACAAAAUACAAAUUUAAGCAAAGCAAAGAACACUAAUAAAACUUCAAUUUCUCAUUUCUUGAUAACAAAAUAGAAAAAUUUUAGCAAAACAAGAACACAAAUUACUAUCAUCUUCUCAUUUCUUGAUAACAAUAUAUCAAAAUUAGCAAAACAAGAACAGCUAUAACAUUAAUGCAAUCCUCUCAUUUCUUGAUAACAAUAUACAUAAUUAGCAAAAACCAAGAAACACUAAUCAUCUUCUCAUUUCUUGAUAAUAAUAUACCCAAAAUUUAGCAAAACAGAACCAAUAACACUAUCGAUCCUCUCCCUUUCUUGAUAACAAAUAAAGUACGAAAUUCAGCAAAAAAGAACGCUAAUAACUACUAUCAGAUCUUCUCAUUUCUUGAUAACAAUAUACAAAAUUCAGCAAAACAAGAACACUAAUAACAUUAUCAAUCCUCUCAUUCUUGAUCAACAAAUAUAACAAAAUUUAGCAAAACAAGAACAUUAAUAACAUUAUCAAAUCUUUCCAUUUCUUGAUAACAAUAUAGAAAAUUUAGGCGAAACAAGAACACUAUAACACUAUCAAUCAUCCUUUCAUUUCUAAUAAUAAUAUAAAAUUUAGCAAAACAAGAACAACUAAAUAACACGUCAAAUCUUCACAUUUCUUGAUAAACAAUAUACAAAAUUUAGCAAAACAAGAACACUAAUAACACUAAUCGAUCUUCUCAUUUUCUUGAUAACAAUAUACAAAAUUUAAAGCAAAGCAAGACCACUAAUAACACUAUCCAAGCUUCUCAUUUCUUGAUAACAAAAUAGAAAAUUUAGCAAAACAAGAACACCUGAAUACACUAUCAUCCUUCUCAUCUCUUGAUAACAGUAUAUCAAAACUUUAGCAAAACAAGAACACUAAUAACAUUAUCAAUCCUCUCAUUUUCUUGAUAACAAUAUACAUAAUUUAGCAAAACCAAAACAAUAUACAACACUCUCAAUCCUCUCAUUUCUUAAUAACAAUAUACAAAAUUUAAGAAAAGAAGAACACUAAUGACACUAAUCAAUCUUCUGAUUUCUGAUAAACAAUCUACAAAAUAUAGCAAAACAAAGAACAUAAUAACACUAUGCAAAUCUUCUCAAUUUCUCAUAACAAUUAACAAAAUUUAGCAAAACAAAACACUAAAUAACACUAUCAUCUUCUCAUUUUUUGUACAAUAUAACAAAUUUAGCAAAACAAAGAACACUAAUAACACUAAUCAAUGCUUCUCAUUUCUUGAUACAAUAUACAAAAUUUUAGGCAAAACAAGAAACUAUAACACUAUCAAUCUUUCUCUAUUUCUUGAUAACAAUAUACAAAAUUUUUAAAAAAUAACAAGAACACAAUAACACUAUCAAUUUCUCAUUUCUCCUUGAUAACAAUAUACAAAAUUUAGCAAAACAAAAACACUAAUAACACUAUCAAUCUUCUAAUUUCUUGAUAAGCAAAUAUAAUCAAAAUUUUAGCAAAACAAUAACACUAAUACACUAUCAAUCUUCUCAUUUCUUUCUUGAUAACAAUAUACAAAACUUAAAAAAACAAAGAACACUAAUAAACACUACAUCUUCUCAUUUUUGAUAACAAAUUUACAAAACUUUAAAAAAACAAAAAACUAAUAACACUAUCAAUCUUCUCAUUUCUGAUAACAUAGAUAAAAUUUUGCAAAAACAACGAACACUAAUAACUACUGUCACUCUUCUCAUUUCUGAUAAACAAUAUACAAAAUUUAGCAAAACAAGAACACUAAUAACACUAUCAAUCUUCUGAUUUUCUUGAUAACAAUUUAUACAUAAUUUUGGCCAAAUAAAAACCUAAUAACACUAUAAAUCUCUUCAUUUCUUGAUAACGAUAUAAAAACUUAGCAAAAACAAGGACACUAAUAACACUAUCAAUCUUCACUUUCCUUGAUAUACAAUGAUACAAAAUUUAGCAAAACAGAAACACUAAUACAAAAACUAUCAAUCUUCUCAUUUCUUGAUAACAAUAACAGAAUUUUGCAAAACAAGAACAUUGAUAAACUAUCAAUCCUCUCAUUUCUUGAUAACAAUAUAACAAGAAUUUAGCCAAAAAAAGAACACUAAUAAACUCUAAUCCUCCAAUUUCUUGAUAAUAAUAUCAUAAAAUUUUAGCAAAACAAGAAACCAUAACACUAUCAAUCCUCUCAUUUAUUGAUAACAAUGUAACAGAAUUUAUCAAAGAACAAGAACACUAUAACACUUAUCAAUCCUCUUCAUUUCUGAUAACAAUUAGCAAAUUGCAGUAACAAAACAAGAAUACUAAUAUACUACUCUCAUCUUCUUCAUUUCUGAUAUACUAUAUUAUCAUAAAUUCAGCAAAACAUAGAACACUAUAACACUAUCAUCCUCUCAAUUUCUUGAAUAACAACAUACAAAAUUUAGCAAAACAAGAACAUUAAUAACAUUUAUCAAGUCUUCUCAUUUCCUUGAUAACAAUACUACAAAAUUUAGCAAAAACAAGAACACUAAUAACGAAUUUUCAAUUCUUUUUCAAUUUCCUUGAUUAACAAUAUACAAAAUUUAGCAGAAGCAAGAACAGACUAAUAAACUGAUCAAUCUUCUCAUCUUCUGAUAACAAAAAUAGAAAAUUUAGCAAAACAGAAGAAACACUAAUAACACUAAUCAUUCCUUCUCAUUUUCUUGAUAACAAUAUACAAAAAUUUAGCAAAACAGAACACUAAUAACAAUUAUCAUCCAAUCAUUUUCUUGAUAACAAUAUAUCAAAAUUUAGCAAACAAAAACAACUAAUAACACAAUCAAUCCUCCUCAUUUUCUUGAUUUAACAAUAUACAAAAUUCAGCAAAACAAGAACAGCCUAAUAACACUAUCAAUCUUUCAAUUUCUUAAUAACAAUAUACAAUUCAGCAAAACAAGAACACUAAUAACACUAUAUCCUCGUCAAUUUUCUUGAUAACAAUAUACAAUUUAAGCAAAAACAAGAACAUUAAUAACAUUAUCAAUCUUCUCAUUUCUUGAUAACAAUAUACCAAGUUAAGCAAAACAAGGACACUAAUAACACUAUCAAUCAUCUCAUUUCUUAAUAAUAAUAAUAUCAAAAUUUAGCAAAACAAGACCACUAAUAAACUAUGCAAUCUUCUCAUUUCUUGAUAACAAUAUAACAAAAUUUAAGCAAAACCCAAGAACACUCAUUAACACUAUCAUCUUCUCAUUUCUUGAUAACAACAUAACAAAUUACAAACCCAAGAACACUAAUAACACUAUCAAUCUCACAUUCUUGAUAAGCAAAUAUACAAAAUUUAGCAAACAAGAACAUUAAUAAACUAUCAAUCCUCUCAUUUCUUGAAUAACAAUAUACAAAUAUUCAGCAAAACAAGAACCUAAUAACAACUAUCAAUCUUCUCAUUUCUUGAAUAACAAUAUAAACUAAAAUUCAGCAAGAAGCAAGAACACUAAUAACCACUGUCAAUCCUCUCAAUUUCUGAUAACAAUUCAAAUUAAGCAAAACAAGAAAUAUUAAUAACAUAUCAAUCUUCUCAUUCUUAUAACAAUAUACAAGAAUUUGGCGAAACAAGGAACACCUAAUAACACAGAAUCAAUCAUCGUCAUUUUUAAUAAUAAUAUACAAAAUUUAGCACCACAAGAACACGUAAUAACACUACAAUCUUCUCAUCUUGAAUAACAAUAGUAUAAAUUAGCAAAACAAAGAAUAACUAAUAACGACUAUCACUCUUCGUCUUUCUUGAUAAGAAAAUACAAAAGUUUUAGCAAAACAAGAACAGCUAAUAACACUUUAUCGAAUCUUCACAUUUCUUGAUAACAAUAUACAAAAUUUAGGCAAAACCAAGAACACUAAUAACACUAUCAAUCCUCAUCAUUUCUUGAUAACAAUAUACGAAAUUCAGCAAACAAGAACCUAAUACACUAUCAAUCUUCACAUUUUCUGAUAACCAAUAUAAUAAUUUAUGCAAAACAAGAACACUAAUAACACUAUCCAAUCCUCUCAUUUAUUGAUAACAAUGUACAGAAUUUCAGCAAAGACAAGAACACUAAUAACACUAUCAAUCCUCAUCAUUUCUUCCUUGAUAACAAUAACAAAAUUCAGCAAAACAAGAAACACUAAUAACACUAUCAAUCUUCUCAUUUCUUGAUAACAAUAUACAAAAUUUCAGCAAAACAAGAACACUAUAACACUAUCAAUCCUCUAUUUCUUGAUAAACACAUACAAAAUUUAGCAAACAAAACAUUACUCAAGCAUUAAUCAAUCUUCUCAUUUCUUGAUAACAAACAAAAUUAGCAAAACAAGACACUACUAAUAACCUUUCAAUCUUCUCAUUUCUUGAUAACAAUAUACAAAUUUAGCAAAACAAGACACUAAUAACACUAUCAAUCUUCUCAUUUCUUGAUAACAAAUACAAAAUUUAGCAAAAGAAGAACACUAAAUACACUAUCAAUCUUCUCAUUUCUUGAUACAAUAUACAAAAUUUAGCAAAACAAGAACACUAAUAACAAUUCAUCCUCUCAUUUCUUUGAUAACAAAUACAAAAUUUAGCAAAAACAAGAGAACACUAUAACACUAUCAAUCCUCUCAUUUCUUGAUAACAAUAUACAAAAUUUCAGCAAAACAAGAACCCUAAUACACAUUCAAUCUUCUCAUUCUCUUAUAAACAAUAUACAAAAUUCAGCAAAACAAGAACACUAAUAACACUAUCAAUCCUCUCAUUUCUGAUAACAAUAUACAAAAUUUAGCAAAACAAGAACACUUAAUAACACUAUCAAUCGUUCUCAUUUUGAUAACAAUAUACAAAUUUAGCAACAAAACAAGAACACUAAUAAACAUUAUCAAUCCUCUCAUUCUUUGAUGAACAAUAUACAAAAUUUAGCAAAACAAGAACACUAAUAAACACUAUCAAUCCUCUCAUUUCUUGAAACAAAUAUACAAAAUUCAGCAAAACAAGAACCCUAAUAACACUAUCAAGCUUCUCAUUUCUUGAUAACCAAUAUACAAAAAAUUCAGCAAAACAAGAACACUAAUAACACUAUCAAUCCUCUCAUUUCUUGUAACAAUAUACAAAUUAGCAAAACAAGCAACGAUUAUAACAGUUAUCAAUCUACUCAUUCUUGAUAACAAUAUACAAAAAGUUAGCGAAAACAAGGACACUAAUAACACUAUCAAUAUCUCAUUUCUUUAAUAAUAGAAUAUACAAAAUUAGCCAAACAAGACCCCUAAUAACCACUAUUCAAUCUUCUCAUUCUUGAUAACAAUAUCAAAUUUAGCCGAAAAACAAAGAACACUAAUUACACUAUCAAUCUUUCUCAUUUCUUGAUAAAAACAUACAAAAUUUAGCAAAACAAAGACAUAUAACACUAUUCAUCUUCACAUUCUUAUACAAUAUACCAAUUUAGCAAAACCAAGAAACACUAAAUAACACUAUCAAUCAAACAAGAACACUAAAACACUGAUAAUCUUCUCAUUUCUUAAUAACAAUAUACAAAUUCUAGCAAACAAGACACUAAUAACAUAUCAAUCUUCUCAUUUCUUUAUAAACAAUAUACAAAAUUUAGCAACAAGGAACAUUAAUAACAUAUAAUCUUCUUCAUUUCUGCUAAACAAUAUACAAAAUUUAGCGCAAACAGAACAGCUAAUAACACUUAUCCAAUACUUCUCAUUCUCUAAAUAACCAAUAUAAAAUUUAAACAAACAAGAAUAAUAACACAUAUCAAUCUUCUAUUCUUGAUAACAAUAGAUACAAAUUUGCAAAACAAGAACACAAAUCACUAUCAAUCUCUCAUUCUAUAUGAUAACAAUAUACAUAAAUUUAGCAACAAGAAACAUAUCAACUAUCAUCUCUAUUUCUAUAAACAAUAGAAAAUUUAGCAAAACAAGAACCUAAUAACACUAACAUCCUUCUCAUUUCUGGAUAACAAUAUACAAAUUUAGCAAACAAGAACACUAUCACCAUUAUCAAUCUCUUCAUCUUCUGAUACUUACAUAUUUGCCAAAAGACCAAUGACACAAUAUCUCACAUAAAACGUCAAUUUACAACCGAACACUAAUAACUAUAUCAUCUGUAAAACAAUCUAUAUUACAAAAUGUAACUCCUCUUCUCGAUCAAUUUCAAAUUGAAACGAAAACCUAAUACAUUAUAAUUUCAUUUAUAUCAAGCAAAACAAGAACUUAAAUACAUCUAUCACAGUUCUCUCAUUUUUAUUAACAAUAUACAAAAUUUAGCCAACAAGACACUAUAUAACGCCUCUCUACUAUCAAUAUAAAUCGCAACAAGUAUCUGCAAUUUCUUAUCUAUAACCAUAUACAAUUAGCAAACAAAGAAACAUUAAACAUCUAUCAAUCUUCUCAUUCUUGAUAACGAAUAUACAAAAUUUUAGCGAAAACAAGAAACACUAAUAACACUAUCAAUCUUCUAUUUACUUAGAUAACAAUACACAAAAUUUUAGCAAAACAAGAACACAACAACUAUCAUCUUCUCAUUUUAUAUAACAAUAUACCAAACAUUAGCAAAAAAGAACAUACUAAAACACAUUAUCAUUCCUUCUCAUUUCUUUGAUAACAAUUAUACAAAAUUCAGCCAAAGACAGAGAACCAUAAAACAUAGUCAAUCUUCUCAUUUCUUAAUAACAAAUAGCAAAUUUUAGCAAAACAAGGAACACUAAAUCAAAACACUAAUCAAUUUUCCAAUCUUCAUUUCUUGAUACCAAUAUACAAAAUUUAGCAAAACAAGAACACUAAUAACACUGUCAAUCUUCUCAUUCCUUGAUAACAAUAUACAAAAUUUAGCAAAACAAGAACACUAAUAACACUAUCAAUCCUCUCAUUUCUUAAUAACAAAAUAGAAAAUUUAGCAAAACAAGAACAUUAAUAACACUAUCAAUCUUCUCAUUUCUUGAUAACAAUAUACAAAAUUUAUCAAAACAAGAACACUAAUAACACUAUCAAUCCUCUCAUUUCUUGAUAACAAUAUACAAAAUUCAGCAAAACAAGAACACUAAUAACACUAUCAAUCUUCUCAUUUCUUGAUAACAACAUACAAAAUUUAGCAAAAGAAGAACACUAAUAACACUAUCAAUCUUCAUAUUUCUUGAUAACAAUAUACAUAAUUUAGCAAAACAAGAACACUAAUAACACUAUCAAUCUUCUCAUUUCUUAAUAACAAAAUAGAAAAUUUAGCAAAACAAGAACACUAAUAACACUAUCAAUCUUCUCAUUUCUUGAUAACAAUAUAAUACUAUCAAUAUCUUCUCGAUUCGGGUUUUGUAGGAUAACAAUAUUAAAAUUUUUAAAAGAAGAAAAAAAAAAAAAAAAAGAAAGAAGAAAAAAACAAGAGAAAAGCACGAGCUCAUAACAUAAUCGAGAUCUGCUUCAUUUUCUUCCGAUAACGAAUAUACAAAAGUUUAGCCCCACCCCCCGCCGCCGCACGCCCACGCCCAGCCACCCCACCACGCCCCCGCCACACACCCCCCAAGCCCCAAAACCUAGAACGACUAACAUAAACACUAUCAAUCUUCUCAUUUUCUUGAAACAUAUACAAGAAUUUAGCCAAAAAAACAAGAACCAACGUAAUAAAAAACUAUCAGGUCUUUCAAUUUCUUUAAAAAUAACAAUAUACAAAAAUUUUAGGCAAAACACAAAGAACACAAUAACACUAUCAAUGUCUUCUCGAUUUCUUUGAUUAACAAUAUACAAAAGUGUUAGCAAAACAAAGAAACACAAAAACACGGUAUUCAAUCUUCUCCAGUUCCUGAAUAACAAUAUUACCAAAUUUCUAGCAAAAAACAGAAACCAUAAUAACACAUUCAAUCUUCUCAUUUCUGAUGAACAAAUAUGACAAAAAUUAUAGCCAAACACUAAAACACUAAUAACCACUUCAAUUCUUUCUCAGUUUCUUAAAUUACGAAUAUAGAAAAGUUUAGCAAAGAUAAUUAACACUAAUAACACUAUCAAUCUUCUCAUUCCUUGAUAACAAUAUACCAAAAUUUAGCAAAACAAGAACACUAAUAAACCUAAUUCAAUCUCUAAUUCUUUUGUGACAAUAUAAAAAUUUAGCAAAACGAGAACACUAAUAACGACUAUCGAAUCUUCUCAUUUCUUGAUAACAAUUAUACAGAAAUUUAGCAAAACAAGAAAAUACUAGUAAAACUAUUCAAUCUUCUCAUUUCUUGAACCAAUAUACAAAAAUUAUAGCAAAACAGAAACACUAAUAACACUAUCAACUUAUUCCAUCUUAAUAACAAUUAUACAAAAUUUACAAAAAACAGGAGAACAUAUAUAACACAUCAAUCUCUUCUCAUUUCUUGGAUAAAAUGUAGCAAAAUGUUGCAAAUAAGAACACUAUAACUACUAUCAAUCUUCUGAUUUCUUGAUAACAAUAUACCAAAAUUAAAACAAAACAAGACACUAAUAACACGUAUCAAUCUUCUCAUUUCUUGAUAAACAAUAUACAAAAAUUUAGGCAAGGUAAGCAGAACACUAAUAACACAUCAAUCUUCUCAUUUCUUGAUAAGCAAUGAUACAAAAUUUAAGCAAAAACAAGAACACUAAUAACACUAUCAAUCUUUCAUUUCAUAAUUACACUAGACACACUGAACAAUCAAUUCCAAUCUUAGCUACAAAAUUAGCAAAACAAAAUACACUAAUAACACUAUCUAAUCUUUUCAUUUUACGAUAAACAAUAUACAAAAGUUAGCAAAAAACAAGAACACUAAUAACACUAUUUCAAUCUUCCAUUUCUAAUAACAAUAUAGAAAAUUAGCAAACAAUAAUACACUAUACACUAGUCAAUGCUUCUCAUUUCUUGAUAACAAUAUAAAAAUUUAAAAAAAAAAACAAGAACACUAAUAACACUAUCAAUCUGUCUCAUUUCUUAAUAACAACUAUACAAAAUUAUAAAACUAAGAUCAUAAUAACACUAUCUAAUCUCUCAUCUUCUGGAUAACAAUAAUACAGAAAUUUAGCAAAACCAUGAUACACUAAAUAACACUAUCAAUCUUCCUCAUUUGCUUAAUAACAAUUAUACAAAAUUGCUCAGCAAACAAUGAAGACAACUAAUAACACUAUCAAUCUUCUCAUUCUUGAUAAAAUAUACAAACAAUUUUAGCAAGACUAAGAAACACUAAUAACACUUCGAAUCUUCUAUUCCUUGAUAACAUAUUACAAAAUUUAGCAAACGAAGAACACUAUCAACAUAUAUCUUCUCAUUUCUUUGCAUAAACAAUAUACAAAAGUUAGAAAACAAGCCAACACUUAAUAACACUACUCAAGUCUCUGCAUUUACUUGAUAACAAUAUUACCAAAAUUUCAGCCAAAACAAGAACACCUAAUAACACUAUCAAUGCUUCUCAUUUCUUAAUAACAAUAUUACAAAAUUAGACCAAAACCAAGAACACUUAGAUAGAGCACUAUUCAAUACUCUCUCAUUUCUCCUGGAUAACAAUUAUACAAAAAUUUAGCGAACAAGAACACUAUAAUAACACUAUCAAUCUUUCUUUCCCUUCAUAACAAUAUACAAAAAUUUAGCAAAACAAUGAACCAUCAAAUAACACUAUCAAUACUUCUCAUUUGGCUUCAAUAACAAUAUUACACAAAUUGUAACAACAAACAAGCAACAUCUAAGUACACAGGCUAUUCAAUCUUCUCAUUUCUCGUGAUUAAACAAUAUACAAAAAUUUGCAAAGCAAGAACCUAAUAAACUAUCAAUGCUUGUCUUCUUCAAUAGCAAAAUGAUCAAAAUAUUUAGAUAAAAACAAGAAUCACUAUAUAACACUAUCAAUCUAUACUCAUUUCAAUUCUAAAACUACAAAAAUCUUACGUAAAACAAGAAACACGAUCAUUAAUAACACUAUCCAACCUCUCAUUUGAUAACAAUAUAAAAUUGAAAAAACGAAAAUAAAACAUAUAAUUAGUCUGCAUUAUAACAACAUCAAAAUUUGCACAAACAAGAAACUAAACUAACCGAUCAAUCUUCUCAUUUCUUGAUAACAAUAUACAAAAUUUAGAAAAACACGAACACUAAUAACACUAUCAAUCUUCUCAUUCCUUGAUAAACAAUAUACAUAAACUUGCAAAACAAGAACACUAAUAACACUAUCAAUCUUCUCAUUUCUGUAUAAACAAAUACAAAAUUUAGAAAAACAAGAACACUAAUAACACUAUCAAUCUUCUCAUUUCUGAUAACAAUAUACAAAAGUUGCAAAACAGAACACUAAUAACACUAUUCAAUCUUUCUCAUUUCUUAAUACAAUAUAGAAAAUUUAGCGAAAUAAGAAACACUAAUAACACUAUCAAUCUUCUCAUUUCUUGAUAACAAUAUAACAAAAUUUAGCUAAACAAAGAAUUACUAAGUUAAAACUAUCACAUCCUCUCAUUUCUUGAUAACAAUAUACAAAAUAUUAAAGCAAAACAAGGAACACUUAUAACACUAUCAAUCUUCUUCAUUCUUGAUAACAAUAUACAAAAUUUAGAAAAACAAGAACACUAAUAACACUAUCAAUCUUCUCAUUUCUGAUAACUAUAUACAAAAAUUUAGCAAAACAAGAACACUAAUAACACUAUCAUUCUUCUCAUUUCUUAAUAACAAUAUAGAAAAUGUAGCAAAACCAAGAACUAAUAAAACACUAUCAAUCUUCUUCAUUUCUUAAUCAAUAUACAAANNNNNNNNNUACAAACAAUAUACAAAAUUUAGCAAACAAGAACACAAUACACUAUCAAUCUUCAUCUUUUGUACUAAAAUUUAGCAAAAAACAAGAACACUAAUAACACUAUAAUCCAUUCUCUCAUUUACAAUUAUUAACAAUAUACAAAAUUUUAACAGCAAAACAAGACUCUAAUAACAUAUCAAUCUUCCAUUUCUUGAUAAACAAUAUACAAAUUUAGCAAAACAAGAAACAUAAAACACUAUCAAUCUUCUCAAUUUCUGAUAACAAUAUAAAAUUUAGCAAACAAGAACACUAAUAACACUAUCAAUCUUCUCAUUUCUUGAUAACAAUAUACAAAAUUUAGCAAAACAGAACACUAAUAACACUAUCAAUCUUCUCAUUUCUUGAUAACAAUUAUACAAAUUGAGCAAAACAGAACACUAAUAACACUAUCAAAUCUUUUCUCAUUUCUUGAUAACAAUAUACAAAAAUUUAGCCAAACAAGAACACUAAUAAACACUAUCGAAUCUUCGUCAUUUCUGAUAACAAAUACAAAAUUUAGCAAAACAAGAACACUAAUAACACUAUUCAAUCUUCUCAUUUCUUUAAUAACAAUAUACAAAAUUUAAAAGAAACAACACUUUAAUAAACACUAUAUCAAUCUUCUCAUUUCUUGAUAACAAUUACAAAAUUAGCCAAACAAGAACACUAAUAACACUAUCAAUCUUCUCAUUUCGUUGAUAACAAUAUAAAAUUAGCAAAACAAGAACACUAAUAAACACUAUCAAACUUUUCUCAUUCUUUGAUAACAUAUACAAAAAUUUAGAAAACAAGAACACUAAUAACACUAUCAAUGCUUCUCUUUCUGAUAACAAUAUACAAAAAUUUAGCAAAACAAGAACACUAAUAACACUAUCAUCUUCUCAUUUCUUAUAGACAUAUACAAAUUUAGCCGAACUAAACGUACACGAAUCUGCUCAUUCCAUACAAAUAGAAAUACAAAACAAGAACACUAAUAACACUAUCAAUCUUCUUCAUUUCUUGAAUAACAAUAUACAAAAUUUAGCAAAACAAGAACACUAAUACACUAUCAAUCUUCUCUUUUCUAAAACAAUAUAAAAUUUAGCAAACAAGAACACUAAUAACACUAUCAAUCUUCUAUUUUUGAUAACAAUAUACAAAAUUUCAGCAUAAACAAGAAACUAAUAAACUAUCAAUCUCUCUUUCUUUAUAACAAUAACCAAAAUAUAGCAAAACAAUAACACUAAAACACUAUCAAUCUUCUCAUUUCUUGAUAACAAUAUACAAAAUUUAGCAGAAACAAGAACAUAAUAACACUAUCAAUCUUCUCAUUUCUGAAUAAACAAUAUAAAAAAAUUAGCAAAACAAGAACACUAAUAAUACUAUCAAUCUUUCUCAUUUCUUGAUAACAAUAUACAAAAAUUAGCAAACAAGAACACUAAUAACACUAUCAAUCUUCUCAUUUCUUAUAACAAAUAAAAAUUUAGCAAAACAAAACACGUAAUAACACUAUCAAUCUUCUCAUUCUUAAUAACAAUAUACAAAAAUUUAAAAAAACAAGACAUUAAUAAACAUAUCAAUCUCUCAUUUCUUGAUAACAAUAUACAAAAUUUGCAAAACAAGAACACUAAUAACACUAUCAAUCUUCUCAUUUCUUCGAUACAAUAUACAAAUUUAGGCAAAACAAGAACACUAAUAAACACUAUCAAUCUUCUCAUUUCUUGAUUACAAUAUAACAAAAUUUAGCAAAAACAAGAACACUAAUAACACUAUCAAUUUCUCAUUCUUGAUAACAAUAUACAAAAUUUAGCAAAACAAGAAACACUAAUAACCUAUCAAUCUUCUCAUUUCGUUGAUAACAAUAUACAAAAUUUAGCAAAAACAAGAACACUAAUAACACUAUCAAUCUUCUCAGUUUCUUGAUAACAAACAAUAUACAAAAUUUGGCAAAACAAGAACACUAAUAACACUAUCAAUCUUCUCAUUUCUUGAUAACAAUAUACAAAAUUUAGAAAAACAAGAACACUAAUAACACUAUCAAUCUUCUCAUUCCUUCAUAACAAUAUACAAAAUUUAGCAAAACAAGAACACUAAUAACACUAUCAAUCUUCUCAUUUCUUGAUAACAAUAUACAAAAUUUAGAAAAACAAGAACACUAAUAACACUAUCAAUCUUCUCAUUUCUGGAUAACAAUAUACAAAAUUUAGCAAAACAAGAACACUAAUAACACUAUCAAUCUUCUCAUUUCUUAAUAACAAUAUAGAAAAUUUAGCAAAACAAGAACACAAAUAACACUAUCAAUCUUCUCAUUUCUUGAUAACAAUAUAAAAAAUUUAGCUAAACAAGAAUACUAAUAAAACUAUCAAUCCUCUCAUUUCUUGAUAACAAUAUACAAAAUAUAGCAAAACAAUAACACUAAUAACACUAUCAAUAUUCUCAUUUCUUAAUAACAAUAUACAAAAUUUNNN